rnacentral:rRNA from 1 species
GGUUAAGCGACUAAGCGUACACGGUGGAUGCCCUGGCAGUCAGAGGCGAUGAAGGACGUGCUAAUCUGCGAAAAGCGUCGGUAAGGUGAUAUGAACCGUUAUAACCGGCGAUGUCCGAAUGGGGAAACCCAGUGCAAUUCGUUGCACUAUCGUUAACUGAAUACAUAGGUUAACGAGGCGAACCGGGGGAACUGAAACAUCUAAGUACCCCGAGGAAAAGAAAUCAACCGAGAUUCCCCCAGUAGCGGCGAGCGAACGGGGAGCAGCCCAGAGUCUGAAUCAGCUUGUGUGUUAGUGGAACGGUCUGGAAAGUCCGACGGUACAGGGUGAUAGUCCCGUACACCAAAAUGCACAGGUUGUGAAUUCGAAGAGUAGGGCGGGACACGUGGUAUCCUGUCUGAAUAUGGGGGGACCAUCCUCCAAGGCUAAAUACUCCUGACUGACCGAUAGUGAACCAGUACCGUGAGGGAAAGGCGAAAAGAACCCCGGCGAGGGGAGUGAAAAAGAACCUGAAACCGUGUACGUACAAGCAGUGGGAGCACCUUCGGGUGUGACUGCGUACCUUUUGUAUAAUGGGUCAGCGACUUAUAUUCUGUAGCAAGGUUAACCGUAUAGGGGAGCCGCAGGGAAACCGAGUCUUAACUGGGCGUUAAGUUGCAGGGUAUAGACCCGAAACCCGGUGAUCUAGCCAUGGGCAGGUUGAAGGUUGGGUAACACUAACUGGAGGACCGAACCGACUAAUGUUGAAAAAUUAGCGGAUGACUUGUGGCUGGGGGUGAAAGGCCAAUCAAACCGGGAGAUAGCUGGUUCUCCCCGAAAGCUAUUUAGGUAGCGCCUCGUGAAUUCAUCUUCGGGGGUAGAGCACUGUUUCGGCUAGGGGGUCAUCCCGACUUACCAACCCGAUGCAAACUACGAAUACCGAAGAAUGUUAUCACGGGAGACACACGGCGGGUGCUAACGUCCGUCGUGAAGAGGGAAACAACCCAGACCGCCAGCUAAGGUCCCAAAGUCAUGGUUAAGUGGGAAACGAUGUGGGAAGGCACAGACAGCCAGGAUGUUGGCUUAGAAGCAGCCAUCAUUUAAAGAAAGCGUAAUAGCUCACUGGUCGAGUCGGCCUGCGCGGAAGAUGUAACGGGGCUAAACCAUGCACCGAAGCUGCGGCAGCGACACUAUGUGUUGUUGGGUAGGGGAGCGUUCUGUAAGCCUGCGAAGGUGACCUGUGAGGGUUGCUGGAGGUAUCAGAAGUGCGAAUGCUGACAUAAGUAACGAUAAAGCGGGUGAAAAGCCCGCUCGCCGGAAGACCAAGGGUUCCUGUCCAACGUUAAUCGGGGCAGGGUGAGUCGACCCCUAAGGCGAGGCCGAAAGGCGUAGUCGAUGGGAAACAGGUUAAUAUUCCUGUACUUGGUGUUACUGCGAAGGGGGGACGGAGAAGGCUAUGUUAGCCGGGCGACGGUUGUCCCGGUUUAAGCAUGUAGGCUGAUUGUCCAGGCAAAUCCGGAUAAUCAAGGCUGAGGUGUGAUGACGAGGCACUACGGUGCUGAAGUAACAAAUGCCCUGCUUCCAGGAAAAGCCUCUAAGCAUCAGGUAACAUCAAAUCGUACCCCAAACCGACACAGGUGGUCAGGUAGAGAAUACCAAGGCGCUUGAGAGAACUCGGGUGAAGGAACUAGGCAAAAUGGUGCCGUAACUUCGGGAGAAGGCACGCUGGUGUGUAGGUGAAGCCCCUGCGGGUGGAGCUGAGACCAGUCGAAGAUACCAGCUGGCUGCAACUGUUUAUUAAAAACACAGCACUGUGCAAACACGAAAGUGGACGUAUACGGUGUGACGCCUGCCCGGUGCCGGAAGGUUAAUUGAUGGGGUUAUCCGUAAGGAGAAGCUCUUGAUCGAAGCCCCGGUAAACGGCGGCCGUAACUAUAACGGUCCUAAGGUAGCGAAAUUCCUUGUCGGGUAAGUUCCGACCUGCACGAAUGGCGUAAUGAUGGCCAGGCUGUCUCCACCCGAGACUCAGUGAAAUUGAACUCGCUGUGAAGAUGCAGUGUACCCGCGGCAAGACGGAAAGACCCCGUGAACCUUUACUAUAGCUUGACACUGAACAUUGAGCCUUGAUGUGUAGGAUAGGUGGGAGGCUUUGAAGCGUGGACGCCAGUCUGCGUGGAGCCAACCUUGAAAUACCACCCUUUAAUGUUUGAUGUUCUAACGUUGGCCCCUUACCGGGGUUGCGGACAGUGUCUGGUGGGUAGUUUGACUGGGGCGGUCUCCUCCCAAAGCGUAACGGAGGAGCACGAAGGUUAGCUAAUCCUGGUCGGACAUCAGGAGGUUAGUGCAAUGGCAUAAGCUAGCUUGACUGCGAGCGUGACGGCGCGAGCAGGUGCGAAAGCAGGUCAUAGUGAUCCGGUGGUUCUGAAUGGAAGGGCCAUCGCUCAACGGAUAAAAGGUACUCCGGGGAUAACAGGCUGAUACCGCCCAAGAGUUCAUAUCGACGGCGGUGUUUGGCACCUCGAUGUCGGCUCAUCACAUCCUGGGGCUGAAGUAGGUCCCAAGGGUAUGGCUGUUCGCCAUUUAAAGUGGUACGCGAGCUGGGUUUAGAACGUCGUGAGACAGUUCGGUCCCUAUCUGCCGUGGGCGCUGGAGAAUUGAGGGGGGCUGCUCCUAGUACGAGAGGACCGGAGUGGACGCAUCACUGGUGUUCGGGUUGUCAUGCCAAUGGCACUGCCCGGUAGCUAAAUGCGGAAGAGAUAAGUGCUGAAAGCAUCUAAGCACGAAACUUGCCCCGAGAUGAGUUCUCCCUGAGACUUUAAGUCUCCUGAAGGAACGUUAAAGACGAUGACGUUGAUAGGCCGGGUGUGUAAGCGCAGCGAUGCGUUGAGCUAACCGGUACUAAUGAACCGUGAGGCUUAACCUU